UACGAAGGGGGCUAGCGUUGCUCGGAAUCACUGGGCGUAAAGGGUGCGUAGGCGGGUCUUUAAGUCAGGGGUGAAAUCCUGGAGCUCAACUCCAGAACUGGCCUUUGAUACUGAAGAUCUUGAGUUCGGGAGAGGUGAGUGGAACUGCGAGUGUAGAGGUGAAAUUCGUAGAUAUUCGCAAGAACACCAGUGGCGAAGGCGGCUCACUGGCCCGAUACUGACGCUGAGGCACGAAAGCGUGGG
rnacentral:rRNA from 1 species